UUCUCUUGCUUUGGACUAUAUUGCACAAAAAUGUCAAGAAUGGUUUUAGAUCACGUUGAGACGAGACGCAAAAAGAAUAGAUAAAAACAGGUUUCUUAUGCGCAUGCAUUUGAAAAAAAAUUCAAAAGGGUAUUGUUUUUGAGGCUGAAAAGAAAGGGGGGAGGCAUUUCUGUUCCAACUCACAUGAACGCCACAGUAUAAUUUUGGUCCCUAGUGUUAGCAAAUGCCAAAAUUGUGGUCCUCAAUUUCAUGCUAAAAGUUGCUUUCACUAUGAUUUUGGCUAAGCCACAGUUCUGAUACUGGAAAAGUUGAAAUGAAAGUGGGAUGCUUUGACAGACACAAGAGAACACAUCACGAAAACUAAGUCGCUGCCAUGUCCACAAAAUCUGCAUUCUCGUACAAAUUAUUAUAUGAUGAAACACCCCAUGCAUCUUUGGAUAUUGAGGCAUCAAGUUCUUCAUUCCAACACAAGAAGUUUGAACCAGAACCCAAGAGAGCCUCUCUCUUCCUGAAUCAGAUUUCGAUAAAGUGAGUAACCAAUAAAAAAACAGGAUUACGGAUGCUGUUUGGUGCAAUGCCUGCCUGUUCUUUGUCCUGGUGUAUUUCAUUUGCUUUUGUUCCUCGGUUGCUGUAAUUUGUCUGUAGCUUGACUGGUUUUCACCAGUCUCUCCCUUACAUCGUACGUGUUCAAUACCUUAAUAAAAUUAUUGGCUAUGUAUACCAA